AACAUACUCCCUUGGAUUAUCAUCGGACUCGCAAGACCAGACUCCAACACGGGCUGAAAAUUUGAAAUGGGACCUGACACUCUUGGACACAGAUGUCGGCUACGGCAGCGGCUUCAAAUACGCUUUGGUGACCAUAUUUCUAAUCGAGAGUUGUGCGAACGAGCCAGACAAACCAGCUGGGAGGAGGACGGAAGCACCCCUUCUCCAUCCGCGUUCAGUUGCUAAAUACGGAUCCACCCCGUAGUGUGGUGUUUUCCAUAGCUGCUCCUUGCUCCUGUUUCACAACAUAUCAAGGCUGCCAAGUAAAUGAAGAAUGAAUCACCGCACACUGGUCAACAGCCGACAGGGUCCUUCCACAACCACAUACUUAUGCCAGUAAAAGCCACAGCUUUUCUCCUCCAAUCCAAGAAGCCUGGACUGCAGUCACCAUCUCAACACACCAACCAAGAGAAAGGCGGAUGGCUCAAUUCAAUAUGGAAAAUUGCACAAAAAAAGUUCCAGGACAUGAAGGCUGCAUACUGUGAACGUCAACCUUCAGGGCACCGUCCUGCGCAGAAGACUUUCUACCCUAAGAGGGAUGGCUGACCGCAGACACUCACAACCAGCACAGACGCCUCCAACCUCAAACCAGGCCCUUCACAGUUGCUGCACUUACCCACCUUCCCAGAGUUUUUGUGUGGUAAUGACAACUGUAAAUAUAGUAUAAAGUAAUGUAUCUAGUGUCAUGUGUAAUACAUUGUUUAAAUUGUCCAUACAUUUCAAUGACAGUAAAUAUUGGUGGACACAAUUUGACUGUGUGGCUUUUUUUUUUAUUCAUUCUCUGACUGAAAAUGCAUGGUUACAUAAUUUAUAUAUUCCACAAGACCACAAUCAGAAGAACAUUUGACAGGUUGCAUUUAUUUUCUAUGUAUGAAAAAAACAAUGGUAACAAGACAAACGUGGUUCCAAACCAAAAAGGUGAGAUGUACAGAUGAAUGCUCCUACAGAUAAUGAAAAAUAAUAAGUCUGCACACUGCCGGUUUGUGUGUUUUAUACCGUACUCUGUAUAAACCUUUUAUAUUGCUCUAGUGGAGCAGGGUAACCCUGGCUAAUCCUGGGUAUUGUACUGUGUAUUACAAGGUCAGCCCUGUUCAAGUGCCCCAUACUGUCUGCAGGCUGCAUGCCUGAAGAGACCGUUUCUCUCACCUGGUCCUACAUCAGCCCAAAGUCUUAUCAAAACUGAGAACACCACAGCAUUUCCUUUCAAUGUUCAUGGGCAUCUCCUUACAGAUUGCGCAGAGGCGCCAGGUUGGUUGUGCUACUGGGCUGUGAGUGUGACUGAGGACCAGAUGUCAUGUGCCAGGUCGAACAUCAAACUGGGGUCACGGGUCAGGGCACGCUGCAGUAACCGAUGGGAUUGCUUCAAAUUCAAUGAUUGAAUCAAGGCCUGCAAAGCAAUAAAUACAUUUUAUGUAGUGCAUUUUCUAUUUGAUGAUGGGGACUAAAUAACUCUAUUGACAAUAAGACCAAUAUGGACAUAAGCAAUCAUUAUUGUGUAUAUAAAUAAAGAUGUGCCAAUUAUAUGCAUACAACGUUUUCAGUCAAUUUCUUACAAACUGGUGUUGUGCCAGGGGUUACACAGAUGUAUGAAGUAGAUGGGCUUUUAUGGAUGUACUUGAACUACCACUGGUGUUGUGUACCUACAACCAUGUAAUAUCACACUACUACUCAUAGGAGUAGAAAUAUUGUAAUGGUUAUCACAACAGGUGUACUCGUGUAGCCUACUCGUGUUGCGAUAUAGAGUACAUCC